AGCUGUGUGGUGAUCACAAAGCGAAUUAUUCUUUCGCCUUUUACUAAAGAAUACCGUGUGAUCGUUACUUUAAACAGCAUACGCUAAUUUUUGAAGGGUGCUUUUGCAGUGAAAGCCC